AAGAAGAGGCAAAGAGAGAAGUCAAAGAAGGAACAAAGCUUGGAGUGGAAAAUCUGAUGGAGAAUUCAAGUGUCAGGGUCAUCUGACCAGCAUCCUGACCCCACUGGCUCACAAUGUGAGGCUGUGGAGGCUGCUGCUCUUCUCGGAACCUUUCUCUUGGGUCCCACAGAGGUGAAAGUCAUCCUGUGACACUGGUUAGCACAAGCUGCACACAGUACUCAGCAGGAUUCCUGCUCGCUCUCAAAAGCCAUACUAUAUUGCUGAAGGAAGUCAGGGCAGAAUCCUGGAGCCAGGAGCUGAUGCAGAGACCAUGGAAGAUUGCUGCUUACUGGCUUGCUCCCAGUGGCUUGUUCAGCCUGCUUUCCUAAAGAUCCCUGGAUCACCAGCUAAGGGUGGCCACACCCACAAUGACCUGGACCCCUCCUACACCAAUCAAUACUUAAGAAAAUGUCCUUCAGGCUUCCUCUUUCUCAUUGGAGGGAUUUUCUCAGUUGAGAUUCCCUCUUUCAGACAACUCUACCUUGUGUAAAGUUGACGUAGGACUAGCCAGGUAAGGAGGGCUAAGAGCACCAUCUACUAUCUCAGGUGGUAUCCAGAUACCUGAAAUAUAACUACCAACAUACCUGGACAGGGCUUCUAAUACAGGCAAGCAAGCAAGAGUCUUCAAGUGUUGGAGGGAAGAAUUCUUUGGUGUGUCUCAGCGUGUGUGUGUAUAUGUAUGUGUGUG
rnacentral:lncRNA from 1 species